GGUUGGAAGCUUCAGAGAAGCUGUUGAAGAAAUAACAUGGAAGCACGGAGCUGCUAAGCAAAGAAGGUAGGAAGCAGUCCAGGCAAGGAGUAAGGGAUAGGAAGCCUAUAAGCUAUGCUAAUAGAAGGAGUCAUGGACUACUUCAUGAACAAAAUAAAUAGUUUCCUGGACCUGGCCACAACUGGAUGCCAUAGACUGGUCCAUCUGAAAGCACUAGACUGGACAUAACCUGAAGUAGAAAAAACAAAAUGGCACACGACUUGUUCUAGAGAGAGAAUUUUUUAAGAUAAUAGAAAAUUCUUAAAGAGCGGCCUUGAUUGGGAAGGCAUUCAGGAAAGAUACCAAAGAAAAAAAGAAGCAAAGGAACUUUUUCAAAAGCAAUAACAUGCCUGUAGCUAUAUAUAUCUAUAGAUAUAUAUAAAUUCCUGCUUCCUUUUUUUUUGUUUCAGCCCUGCAUACCCUUUCUACUAUUGCCCUUUGUUUCCUUUUUGUUUACAUCAUUUUUUCAAGUAGCUUUACAAAGUUCAUACCAAAAAUUUUCAUCUUGUGAGUUGUGACAUGUUAAUCAGAUUAAUUAUAACUUGGCUUUGUUUCUUGAAAUACUUGGAAAAAAAGCAUGUUUGUUGUGUGUUUUUGUUUGUUUUUUUUAAUCAUAGAAAAACUUAACUUUAUUGUAAAAAGAAUAAAGGGCCAUGUGGUACCUUUUGAAAACCACAGACUUUCCCCCUUAAAUUCUCUCCACUGGAAAGUCUCCAUGCAAAGUAAACAGGGGUGAUUUAAAAAAUACAAAUAAAAAGAGGGGUGGGGGAUUAGGAUAAAACAUUAAUUCUUUGGUUUAAAUUAGAAUUCUUAAUUUGUUUCUUUUUAAUUUGGAACUUCUUACUAAAAGCAGGCUAAAAUGAAAUGGAAAUUGAAUAAAAACAUAAGGCCUUAAUUUGUAAUAUUUUAAAAUAUUUAAAUA